GACGAACGCUGGCGGCGUGCUUAACACAUGCAAGUCGAACGGGAUCCGGGCUUUCGGGUUUGGUGAGAGUGGCGAACGGGUGAGUAACACGUGAGUAACCUGCCCCCUUCUUUGGGAUAACGUCGGGAAAUCGGCGCUAAUACUGGAUAUUCUUGCUGCAUCGCAUGGUGUGGUUUGGAAAGGGUUUCUGGUGGGGGAUGGGCUCGCGGCCUAUCAGCUUGUUGGUGGGGUGAUGGCCUACCAAGGCUUUGACGGGUAGCCGGCCUGAGAGGGUGUCCGGCCGCACUGGGACUGAGACACGGCCCAGACUCCUACGGGAGGCAGCAGUGGGGAAUAAUGCACAAUGGGCGCAAGCCUGAUGCAGCGACGCCGCGUGAGGGAUGACGGCCUUCGGGUUGUAAACCUCUUUCAGUAUGGAACAAGGAUCCUUCUUUUGGGGGGUUUGAGGGUACGUGCAGAAGAAGCGCCGGCUAACUACGUG
rnacentral:rRNA from 1 species